UACAGAGGGUGCAAGCGUUGUUCGGAAUUAUUGGGCGUAAAGCGCGUGUAGGCGGCUUAGCAAGUCGGGCGUGAAAGCCCUCGGCUCAACCGAGGAAGUGCACCCGAAACUGCUGAGCUUGAGUGCCGGAGAGGAUGGCGGAAUUCCCCCAAGUAGAGGUGAAAUUCGUAGAUAUGGGGAGGAACACCGGUGGCGAAGGCGGCCAUCUGGACGGUAACUGACGCUGAGACGCGAAAGCGUGGGUAGCAAACAGG
rnacentral:rRNA from 1 species